AUUGAACGCUGGCGGCAGGCCUAAUACAUGCAAGUCGAACGAGUGGCGGACGGGUGAGUAAUGUCUGGGAAACUGCCUGAUGUAGGGGGCUAACUACUGGAAACGGUAGCUAAUACCGCAUACCACCCGUUGUGCCCAGAUGGGAUUAGCUAGUCGGUGGGGUAACGGCUCACCUAGGCGACGAUGCCUAGCUGGCCUGAGAGGUUGAACAGCCACACUGGAACGGAGACACGGUCCAGACUCCUACGGGAGGCAGCAGUGGGGAAUAUUGCACAAUGGGCGAAAGCCUGAUGCAGCAAUGCCGCGUGUAUGAAGAAGGCCUUCGGGUUGUAAAGUACUUUCAGCGGGGAGGCGUUACCCGAAGAAGAAGCACCGGCUAACUCCGUGCCAGCAGCCGCGGUAAUAC
rnacentral:rRNA from 1 species